rnacentral:rRNA from 1 species
UACGUAGGGUGCAAGCGUUAAUCGGAAUUACUGGGCGUAAAGCGUGCGCAGGCGGUCUUGCAAGACAGAUGUGAAAUCCCCGGGCUUAACCUGGGAACUGCAUUUGUGACUGCAAGGCUAGAGUACGGUAGAGGGGGAUGGAAUUCCGCGUGUAGCAGUGAAAUGCGUAGAUAUGCGGAGGAACACCGAUGGCGAAGGCAAUCCCCUGGACCUGUACUGACGCUCAUGCACGAAAGCGUGGGGAGCAAACAGG